GGGGAUGACAGGUUUCGACGAUGUUAGUCGCGACAGGGGAAGCGGGCCGAGGAUACAGAGUUAUCUCGUAAACGCUCUCUGUAAAACAAUAAGUGCCGAACAAAAGCGCACUGACUUCGCUCUCGCUGCCUAAGCAGCCGAGCUAGUCCGUCAGCCCGGGUUUGCUCUUGACCCGGAUCCUGGCGUCAUUUAGAGGGCCACUGCUCUUGGUUUUUGUUGCAGGAACCAGGGGGACUCUUAUGCAACUGGGCCCGGAUCAGCCACUUGUUUGCAUGAUGGCUGGGGCCGAGAAAAUCUGACGCAAACUGCGCCCGGAGAAGCCCUGACUAAACUGCAUCGGACGCGGGUUCAAUUCCCGCCAUCUCCACCU
rnacentral:tmRNA from 1 species